UUUGACCCCGGGGCCGGAAGUGACGCCGGGUCGAAGAUGGCCGCCCGGGGCCGCGGCUGUGCGGUGGGGAAGGCGCUGGCCCUGGGGCGCUGCUGUAGCUGGGAGCGAGCCGCGUGCAUCGCCUCGGCCUGCAGAAUAUAUCCUCCCUGGUCUGCUUCUUUCUUCACCUGAGCAGAGUGUGGAGGGGACACCUCUCAAGGCCACCAUGCCAGAGGCUGCUGAUUAAAACAGACUUACAGUCACCACAGAGAAAAACUCAUAAAUACCUUUUUAAUAAGAAAUGCUAAUUGCCAGUUUAGCUUUGGAGCACCGCCCUGCAGCUCAAGCCAGGAUGAAUACAGCCUGUUGAGUGGGAUAUGGUGGUGGGGGUCUGUUGCAUGAAAGGUUUAGAAACCUGGGUGCCCCCAGGCAUGAGUAUAGGGAAGAUGCAGUGAAUAUUGCCAAUGUUUUCACAGGCAGUGGUGGUUUUUGGCUGUUAUCUCACUCCUGAGGGUGACAAAGGCACAGAGAACCUGUCUGUUGCUACCAUCCUGAAGCCACCUGGGCCUGUAAGCUUCUAGCCAGUUCAUGGCUAUGAUGCCAGUGGAACUCAUUGCAGAGUGGCGUGAGACUCGUCGCAGAGCAGUGUGAGAGUGUCUCCUGUUGUUGAGACUGCCAUCCCUAGAAAUGUUUGGGAGAGGCUGCACAGUAUCUGUGUGAAACUCUGAUCAAGAUUGCACAAGAGGAUAAAAAGGACAUCUCCACUCUGAUAAACAAUAUACUCUGCAUGAUUCUGCCUGCCUCACCCACCAUGCCAAAAAAUGGAAAAGCAGACACUCCCUCUACCUCUGCCUUUUGCCCCUAUCCAAGCACAGGACGCUGAUGUGAUGGGGAUUGUGUAAUUUGGACUACAAUACUAUUCUUUUUAAAUUUAUUUGCUAACAUUGUGCAAGUAUCAUGAGCAAUCAAAAAUCAAUGUCUUUGUUCUCUUAACUUGUGGAGCCAUUUUUUUUUAAAUGGAAGUAGGGAAAGGAGGCUUCGGGCAACAAAAAGGAGUACUUGUGGCACCUUAGAGACUA